AAAUUCAGUCACAUUUAAGUUAAAAAGCGAUAAAUUAUGUUAUUUGGCAAUGCUACAACACCGUUUAAAAUCCUCUUAUUAUAAAUAACAAAAAAUAACCAGUUAAAAUUAAAGAGUACACAUAAAUAGAAAUAUGUGUAAUCUUUCCACAAUCUAGAGUCUUUAAUUUCAUCAAAUCAAGGUCAUAGUGACGUUACUAUGUAGUUAUAGUGGGGUAGAAAUUAGAACAAAUCUACCAGAAAGUUCUCCCGUUUGCUAGAUUACCAAAUCUGAAAGAAAAUACCAUUGCUUUUACCUCUUAUGUGCCACACCACCUGAGUUUAAGCAAGCUGAAGAAACAACAUUGAAGCUUCAUUUGGACAGGCAUUAAUAUGUUGUUACUUAUGCAGUGAGCCACAUCAAGUGUAAUUUCUAUUCAUUAUAAUGUCUAUCAAUAUUGUAUGCUUUGUUUGAGGACUCAGGAUGUGUUGCAAAGCUGUUUGUACCAUAAAAUUGUUCAUUUCCCUGCCUUUGUAUUGAUUAAUAACAGCAGCUAGAUAAAUGUGUAGCCUAGCAUGUUAAUGUAUAUUAUGUUAUGGGCUUUAGGCCCAGUUAGGUUAUUUGUAUAGUACACUUUA